UACGGAGGGUGCAAGCGUUAAUCGGAAUUACUGGGCGUAAAGCGUGCGCAGGCGGUUUGUUAAGUCUGCUGUGAAAUCCCCGAGCUCAACUUGGGAAUUGCAGUGGAUACUGGCAAGCUGGAGUACGGUAGAGGAAGGUGGAAUUCCCGGUGUAGCAGUGAAAUGCGUAGAGAUUAGGAGGAAUAUCGAUGGCGAAGGCAGCUUUCUGGGACAUUUCUGACGCUGAGAAACGAAAGCGUGGGUAGCAAACAGG
rnacentral:rRNA from 1 species